ensembl:lncRNA
AUCUCACAAUCCCAGCAAGAGGAAAUGACUUAGGGACGAAGGCUUCAGAGGAGGAAAAAAAAAUAGAGGCUUCCAAUAAAAAUCAUUUCUAGAAGGAAUGAAGCUGUUAUUGGCAAGUCAACCAGUGAGAGAGACGACUUUGGAAAGAAAGAAGUUCUAUCUUCUAUCCACAUGUCUGUUAGAGAAUGUUUGCAGGUAUUUCCUGGGGGCUUCCCUGGUGGCUCAGAUGGUAAAGAGUCUGCCUGCAGUACAGGAGACCAGGGUUCGAUCCCUGGAUUUGGAAGAUCUGAUGGAGAAGGGAAUGGCUACCAACUCCAGUAUUCUUGCCUAGAGAAUUCCACAGACAGAGGAUCCUGGAGAGCCACAGUACACGGGAUUGCAAAGAGCUGGACAAGACUGACUAACACUAUUACCCUCCUACAGGGAUUUGUGAUUCCCCAAGAACUCUUCUCGGCAUAUCCUCAACUCUGAUGCUUUCUUCUCUACCGGGGAAGACGAGCAGAGAAAGUCCAUGCAUUUGUCAGUCUUGGCCCCUGGUGAUAACUGUGCCAUGGAGGCAGCAGGCAUUUGGAACUGCCAUGUCAUCAAGAAAUCUAGGCCCAAGCCUAGGAGAAUGGAAAAUCAUGGCUCCAGAACCACAGAUACAAUCUGAUCAAAAGGAUAUUUUGAGGUCAGAUGAAACGUACUGCAAACAUGAGUCAGUGAAAGCAAGAAAGAGCUGAGACUCAUAAAGAAAACCAAC